CUACGGGUCGCAGCAGUGAGGAAUAUUGGUCAAUGGGCGCAAGCCUGAACCAGCCAUGCCGCGUGAAGGAUGACAGCCCUAUGGGUUGUAAACUUCUUUUGUACGGGAAGAAACACUUCUACGUGUAGAAGCUUGACGGUACCGUACGAAUAAGCAUCGGCUAACUCCGUGCCAGCAGCCGCGGUAAUACGGAGGAUGCAAGCGUUAUCCGGAUUUAUUGGGUUUAAAGGGUACGCAGGCGGGAAAUUAAGUCAGUGGUGAAAUCCUGCAGCUUAACUGUAGAACUGUCAUUGAUACUGGUUUUCUUGAAUGUAGUUGAGGUAGGCGGAAUGUGUAAUGUAGCGGUGAAAUGCUUAGAUAUUACACAGAACACCGAUUGCGAAGGCAGCUUACUAAGCUACUAUUGACGCUGAGGUACGAAAGCGUGGGGAGCGAACAGGAUUAGAUACCCGCGUAGUC
rnacentral:rRNA from 1 species